rnacentral:rRNA from 1 species
AUCGAACGCUGGCGGCAGGCCUAACACAUGCAAGUCGAACGAGUGGCGGACGGGUGAGUAAUGUCUGGGAAACUGCCCGAUGGAGGGGGAUAACUACUGGAAACGGUAGCUAAUACCGCAUACCAUCGGAUGUGCCCAGCUGGGAUUGGCAAGUAGGUGGGGUAACGGCUCACCUAGGCGACGAUCCCUAGCUGGUCUGAGAGGAUGACCAGCCACACUGGAACUGCGACACGGUCCAGACUCCUACGGGAGGCAGCAGUGGGGAAUAUUGCGCAAUGGGGGCAACCCUGGCGCAGCCAUGCCGCGUGAAUGAAGAAGGCCUUCAGGUUGUAAAGUUCUUUCAGUAGCGAGGCGUUAGCUACAGAAGAAGCACCGGCUAACUCCGUGCCAGCAGCCGCGGUAAUUC